UCCCCGAGAGCCUCUCUCUCUAAAAUCUAGAGAGAGAAAACAGAUCUGAAAACACCAUCACCCCUCCCCCUUCUCUCUUGCCCAGAUCUUGAUCCCUCUGGAUCUAGAUCGACGGCUUGAGAGUUGGGGGUGGUCUCUCUCUCUCUCUCAGCUCGCUCUCUCUGCUGUUUUGAGAGUCGGCAACACCCCUCCAGUCUCUCCGCCCUCAGUGGUGCGUCUCCACCCUUUUGUGUACCGGCAAGCCACCGCAGUGUGUGGACAUCGCCGGACCAGUGGUGUUGUGAUGCAUGGUGGUCUCCACCUCCACGACUACCUUUACUAAGUUCUCUGUUUUUCUUGUUUCUUCCUGUGCAUGCAAUUUCAAUGUGGAGAAUGAUGGUGGAGAGUUAUUUGGCCUCUGGAAGUCAAGCUUCUGUCGGAGCUCAUCUAGCCAUGGUGGUACUCACGGCGGCCAGCCUGUGUUGCAGCGAAGACUUUGGUUUUAGAUCUAGGUUUUCUGGUAUUUUGGGCUUUUGGGCCUCGGCUUGUCAGUUAGUUCUAGUUUAGGUUAUGGGCUGUCUAUUGGGUCUUUGGGCCUAGGACUCCUACUUUUCUGUAUUACCUUUGUAAUAUGGGUUUCAUCUAAUGAAUGAAUUUAUUUGACCAAAAAAAAAAAAAAAAAAAA